rnacentral:lncRNA from 1 species
AUUUCUUCACUUAGUUAAAAACUUAACUGAGUACCUACUAUAUGCCAGGGCCCCAAAACGCCACACAGACCUAUUCAUUCAUUCAAGAAAAAUGUACUGAAUACCGUGGGGCCGAGUCACUUGAUUGUCCUGGGCUUCGCUCUCUGCACUUGGAAGAUGGGGCCCAUAAUGAUUGUGAGGACCCUGCUCUAGACUGAGCCCGGCAACAGGAAAUACAGGAAGUAUUAGAAGCUAUAACUCGGCCGGACGCGAUGGCUCACGGCUGUAACCCCGGCACUUUGAGAGGACGAAGCGGGCGGAUCACGAGGAUCCAUGGUAAGAACUAAAAUGAACCAGGGUGCUUGAGGAAAAAAAGCUGAAUAAUGGAGACGACUUCUUCUCUCCUGGGGGAUCACAGAGGGUUACUGGAUGAAGUGAGUU